ensembl:lincRNA
AUGGCCGUGCUGAGAUGGAGCCCAAACCAAGAUGGAGGCCACCCAUGGGGCUGGAGCGGAGAGCGCCGCAGCUCCGUGCAGAUGCCCCGGCCCCGCCCUCUGCGCGGAGGAAGCUUCCCUCCGCCGCCCGAGCCUCCAAAACGCGGGCCAAGUACCACGAGUGGCACCCAAGAUGAUCUGAGGAUUUGAUACUGUGUAACUUCACAACCAGUAAUGGGCCGAGGUGCCGCCUGCCUGCCUGCGGGACACAGAAGAAGGGCCAGGUAAAGCCUCCCAGGGCCAGGACUUCACUCCACCUGCACUGUUUCCUGGCUCUGAUAAAGAAUGUGUGUCUCAUAAACUGAGCUUGCAUAACACAUCUAAACAGACAGGCCUUCUGUUAAGGAGGUUUUGUUUCCGACUGUAUCAUACCCCUGCCUUUCCUGUACUUUGUUAGGUUGGGUCAUAAAAAAAAAAUUGUACCAAAAAAAAUGUACUAGAAACUAUUGAUUUCUGUUGUGCUAAAGCCCCUGACAUUCUGGCGCGAUGAAGAUAUUGCUGUGGACCCUAUGAGCUUUCUCAGACUUCUCUUCUGCUUAUGAGGGUCUCUGCGGAUGGUAUUAAAGAUAUUGUAGUUCCCACUUUCUGACUGUGGGAUAUCAGCAGGGUCUCUCCUGUGUAAAGAAUAAUUAUCAGCACUGCUGUUACCUCUAGUAAGUGUGUAAUUACAUGCUCGGUUUUGUGGGCUGUAGGCUGUGCAGUUUUAAAUUAUACAAUAAUGUCAAAUUCUCUCCCGCUCUCUCACACUCUCUGGCUCUCUCUCCCUUUCUAUCUCUCUCUAGCUUUUUUUGUAUUUGAAAGGGGAGGUGGGUAAUAUCUAUUUUUUUAGGAGAUAGAAGGAGAGAGUGUGAGAGCGUUUCCACCCACAUAGCGUGGUACCCAGGGAAGGUCAAACACUGUUGCCUGUGUGCUAGGAUUUCAACCCACAGGACCUUUAAAAAUCAGGGCGGAAGAGAUGACGAAGGGUGGGGGGAGUAAGGAAGGACAGGGAGGAGGUGAGUGUGGGAGUGUGGGAGUGUGGGUGAAAGCAGAGUGGGUGUGGUAGAGUCCAGUAAAAAAGCAGGUGGGAAGCAUUGUGAAGGCGCUGAUUCCCAGCCAGAAAUUAAAGUAGCUGGGGGCCGCCUGCAAUGAGCUCUCCACUAAGAACAUGCCUGCGCCUGCUUCGGGGCAAACAGCCCACCACCAGAGGGUCCCACACCUGUCUGUACUUGGCCAGUCAGGGCUCCUGGACAGGUGUGAUCUUCCUGCUGACCAUAGCUUUGCACAACUCACCCCACCCCCACCCCACGGGGAUUCACAGGAUUAAGUGAUGGUAACACUCGUGUCCACCUCAAGCCCUACAACCACCCAGAGUCCUCUUGAACUCAGAUCUGACUGAAAAGACUGCAUGUUUCAUUCCUCUGCUUUAAGGCUUUCCACAAAAUACAUCAGUAAAUGUGUGGAGUUGAUGCUUUAAAAUGAGUUCGUGGCCUGUGGUGAACAUUUGUCUUUUGCUUCGUCCUACUCUCUUCCAUCCCACAAAAUGCAGUUCAC